CUGUGUACUUGGUGAAAUGCACUAAUAACCAUAUCAAGCCGAGCGUGGGCAGCAAUGAACAAAGUGACGCGAACAAGACCAAAGAUCUCGUACCUAGCAUUGGAGAGUUCUCAAAUCCAAUCCUGCUCCUGCAACUUAAGAGGCAGGUAGACCUCAGUGAGGUACUGGAACCCGAAGGAACUGAGGGCCUGUAUCUCAGCCUUUUGCUUGGUGCGAAGCAUCGUCUCCAGCUCCUUCACCCAGCCCUCAUUCUGCUUCACGAAGUCCUCCUCGAGCAGCUCUUUCCCCACCUUGAUAUCGUGAUCGGUCAUGGGGAGACGGCACUGCUCCGGCACUCUGUACUUGUCCAGGUCGCUCGGCCGGACACCGAGCCACUUGAUGUCCGGCGUCGUCAGAUUGGCACUGUCAUACGACAUGUUCUUGGAACCACACAUGUACACCGACAAGAUCUUGAGCCCGUAUGGAUCGGAAUCCACCAGCGCGAGCACUGGCAGCUUCAGCUCAACCUUGAGCCUCCGCAGGAACAGCCGGGUGGCGACAUCUGGCUGCCCCUUGGCCGUCAGAAUGAUGCAGGGGAAGCGGUUGUAGAACCUGUCCUCGGCGAGUCGCAUGAAUGCAGCGUCCUUCUCCACCAGGAGGAUGAAGAGCGCGUCGCUCUCGAUGCCCGAGACCCUGUCGACGUUGGGCGGAAUGGCCUUGCCGCCGACGCCCAUGCGCGUGCAGUCGAUCCGGUCCCCGUCGUCGGCGAAGACGAGGCGGGGUCCGCGCACGGGUCGUGGUCCGCGAGGGACCUGGCGGCGGCCUUGGAUUUGGAAGCGGAGGCAGAAGCGAGGGAGCGGAGGGUGGCCAGGAUGGAGGCGUCGGGGCGGAGCUUCGAGCGGAGGGACUCGGCGUACGACGCGGCCGAGGAAGCACGCGGCUUCUUGGAGCUGGAUGCGGCGCCGGCCGCGCUCGCACCGGCGCGGCGCUUUUUCUCCGACAUGGGGAGGAGCGAGAGAUCGGAAGGCGGCGGAGGGAAAUACGGGGUUCUGGGGCGCAGAUGACGGCGUCGGCGGCGGGGCUUAGCUCGAGCGCGGCUGCGAUUUGGUCUGGUGGUGACUG
rnacentral:misc_RNA from 1 species